rnacentral:rRNA from 1 species
CGCCGCCGCGGGAAUACGUAGGUGGCAAGCGUUGUCCGGAAUUAUUGGGCGUAAAGCGCGCGCAGGUGGUUUAAUAAGUCUGAUGUGAAAGCCCACGGCUCAACCGUGGAGGGUCAUUGGAAACUGUUAAACUUGAGUGCAGGAGAGAAAAGUGGAAUUCCUAGUGUAGCGGUGAAAUGCGUAGAGAUUAGGAGGAACACCAGUGGCGAAGGCGGCUUUUUGGCCUGUAACUGACACUGAGGCGCGAAAGCGUAGGGGAGCAAACAGGAUUAGAUACCCCGGUAGUCCCUGUCUCUUAUAC